rnacentral:rRNA from 1 species
UACGGGGGGGGGCAAGCGUUGUUCGGAAUUACUGGGCGUAAAGGGCUCGUAGGCGGCCAACUAAGUCAGACGUGAAAUCCCCAGGCUCAACCUGGGAACUGCGUCUGAUACUGGAUGGCUAGAGUUUGGGAGAGGGAUGCGGAAUUCCAGGUGUAGCGGUGAAAUGCGUAGAUAUCUGGAGGAACACCGGUGGCGAAGGCGGCAUCCUGGACCAACACUGACGCUGAGGAGCGAAAGCCAGGGGAGCAAACGGG